UACGUAGGGUGCAAGCGUUGUCCGGAAUUAUUGGGCGUAAAGAGCUCGUAGGCGGUCUGUCGCGUCUGUUGUGAAAACUCGAGGCUCAACCUCGGGCUUGCAGUGGAUACGGGCAGACUAGAGUGCGGUAGGGGAGACUGGAAUUCCUGGUGUAGCGGUGGAAUGCGCAGAUAUCAGGAGGAACACCGGUGGCGAAGGCGGGUCUCUGGGCAGUAACUGACGCUGAGGAGCGAAAGCGUGGGGAGCGAACAGG
rnacentral:rRNA from 1 species